ACGCUGGCGGCGUGGCUAAAGCAUGCAAGUCGAGCGCGAACGUCCCCUUCGGGGGACAAGUAGAGCGGCGAACGGGUGAGUAACGCGUGGGUAACGUACCCUUAACUCGGGGAUAGCCGGCCGAAAGGCCGGGUAAUACCCGAUAACAUCACCCCGGGACAUCCCGGGAUGAUCAAAGAUGGCCUAUCCUUGGAAGCUGUCGGUUUUGGAGCGGCUCGCGUCAUAUCAGCUUGUUGGUAGGGUAAUGGCCUACCAAGGCUAAGACGUGUAGUUGGUCUGAGAGGACGACCAGCCACAUCGGGACUGAGACACUGCCCGGACCUCCACGGAGGGCUGCAGCAACGAAUAUUGGACAAUGAGCGAAAGCUUGAUCCAGCGACGCCGCGUGCGGGACGAAGCCCCUCGGGGUGUAAACCGCUGUCAGGUGGAACCAAGCAAAGGGUGUUAAUAGCGCCCGGCGCUGAGGGAUGCCAGAGGAAGCCACGGCUAACUCCGUGCCAGCAGCCGCGGUAAGACGGAGGUGGCAAGCGUUGCUCGGAUUCACUGGGCUUAAAGGGUGCGUAGGCGGCUUUGCAAGCAUUCUGUGAAAGCCCCAGGCUCAACCUGGGAAUUGCAGGAUGAACUGCUUGGCUUGAGGCGCGUAGGGGUCAGCGGAACUCUGGGUGGAGCGGUGAAAUGCAUAGAUAUCCAGGGGAACACCUGUGGCGAAGGCGGCUGGCUAGGCGCGUCCUGACGCUGAGGCACGAAAGCGUGGGUAUCGAACGGGAUUAGAUACCCCGGUAGUCCACGCCCUAAACGAUGAGCACUAGCUUCGGGAGAUUCUGACGUCCCCCGGGGCGUAGGGAAACCGUUAAGUGCUCCGCCUGGGGAGUACGGCCGCAAGGCUAAAACUCAAAGGAAUUGACCNCGGGGGGCUCACACCAAAGCGGUUGGAGGAUGUUGGGCUUAAUUUCGAGGGCAAACNGCGAAGAACCUUACGCUGGGUUUGACAUGUACGGAUGCCCUCGUGGAAACACNGAGUAAGCUGCCCUUCGGGUGAAACGUACAACAGGGUGCUGCAAUGGCUGUCGUCAGCUCGUGCCGUGAGGUGUUGGGUUAAGUCCCGUAACGAGCGAAACCCUUGUCGUUAGUUGCCAGCGUGUCAUGGCGGGCACUCUAACGAGACUGCCGGCGUCAAGCCGGAGGAAGCGGGGAUGACGUCAAGUCAUCAUGGCCUUAGUCCAGGGAUGCACACGUCCUACAUGCCCGGUACAAUGCGACGCCAAACCGCGAGGCGGAGCAAAUCGCAAAAAACCGGGCUCAGUUCAGAUUGCAGUCUGCAACUCGACUGCAUGAAGUCGGAAUCGCUAGUAAUCGCGUAUCAGCUACGACGCGCUGAAUGUGUUCCUGAG
rnacentral:rRNA from 1 species